rnacentral:rRNA from 1 species
UCUGGCUCAGGAUGAACGCUAGCGACAGGCUUAACACAUGCAAGUCGAGGGGCAGCAUAAAAGUAGCAAUACGUUGGUGGCGACCGGCGCACGGGUGAGUAACGCGUAUGCAACCUACCUAUCGAGAGGGGAAGUAACCCGGCGAAAGUCGGACUAAUACCGCAUAAAACAGGGGCACCGCAUGGUGAUAUUUGUUAAAGAAAUUCGCUGAUAGAUGGGCAUGCGUUCCAUUAGGUAGUUGGUGAGGUAACGGCUCACCAAGCCGACGAUGGAUAGGGGAACUGAGAGGUUGGUCCCCCACACUGGUACUGAGACACGGACCAGACUCCUACGGGAGGCAGCAGUGAGGAAUAUUGGUCAAUGGGCGAGAGCCUGAACCAGCCAAGUCGCCGUGAAGGAAGAAGGAUCUAUGGUUCGUAAACUUCUUUUGCAGGGGAAUAAAGUGCAGGACGUGUCCUGUUUUGUAUGUACCCUGAGAAUAAGGAUCGGCUAACUCCGUGCCAGCCGCCGC